CCAGGGCGCAGGACUUCCGCUCGUGUUGCGCGAGCGGUCGAUCCCUGUUCAAAACUGAGACAACUCUAUGCGGUGGAUCACUCGGCUCGUGCGUCGAUGAAGAGCGCAGCCAGC
rnacentral:rRNA from 1 species